rnacentral:misc_RNA from 1 species
GAUGAAGAACGUAGCGAAAUGCGAUAAGUAAUGUGAAUUGCAGAAUUCAGUGAAUCAUCGAAUCUUUGAACGCACCUUGCGCCUUUUGGUAUUCCGAAAGGCACACCUGUUUGAGCGUCAUGAAUACCUCAAUCUCCAUCUUUUCUUCGGAUUGAUGGGUGACUUGGAUGUUGAGCCCUGCUGGUAUGCUAUAUCAGCUGGCUUUAAACUUAUUAGCCGGCUCUGUACUGGAUCGGUUUGACUCGACGUGAUGAUAUUAUCGUUGAGGAUGCAUGUCUCAUGCAGCCGGAAAGUAUCAAAGCAGCUUCUAGCUUGCCUUUAGUGCACUUUUACAUUUUAGACCUCAGAUCAGGUGGGACUACCCGCUGAACUUAAGCAUAUAAUAAGCGGAGGA